rnacentral:rRNA from 14 species
GUCUACGGCCAUACCACCGUGAACGCGCCCGAUCUCAUCUGAUCUCGGAAGCUGAGUGAACCCUCAUUUUCCACCGUCGGUU